AGCUUUGCCAGAGUGGUUGGGCAAUCUUUCCUCUCUUCAAUCCCUUGAAAUUUGGAAUUGUAAGAAUCUGAAGUAUCUACCUAGAGCUACAGACAUGCAACGGCUCUCCAAAUUAAGGAAUCUCCGCAUUGCAUAUUGUUCCUUCCUUGGGGCAAAUUGCGCCAAGGGGAGGGGCUCUGAGUGGCCCAAGAUUUCUCAUAUCCCAGACG
rnacentral:misc_RNA from 1 species